rnacentral:rRNA from 1 species
UGUAGUCAUAUGCUUGUCUCAAAGAUUAAGCCAUGCAUGUCUAAGUAUAAACAAAUUUGUACUGUGAAACUGCGAAUGGCUCAUUAAAUCAGUUAUAGUUUAUUUGAUGGUAUCUUGCUACAUGGAUAACUGUGGUAAUUCUAGAGCUAAUACAUGCAAUCAAGCCCCAACUUCUGGAAGGGGUGUAUUUAUUAGAUAAAAAACCAACGCGGUUCGCCGCUCCCUUGGUGAUUCAUAAUAACUUUUCGAAUCGCAUGGCCUUGCGCCGGCGAUGCUUCAUUCAAAUAUCUGCCCUAUCAACCUUCGAUGGUAGGAUAGAGGCCUACCAUGGUUUUAACGAGUAACGGGGAAUAAGGGUUCGAUUCCGGAGAGGGAGCCUGAGAAACGGCUACCACAUCCAAGGAAGGCAGCAGGCGCGCAAAUUACCCAAUCCCGACACGGGGAGGUAGUGACAAUAAAUAACAAUAUAGGGCUCUUUUGGGUCUUAUAAUUGGAAUGAGUGCAAUUUAAAUCCCUCAACGAGGAACAAUUGGAGGGCAAGUCUGGUAAUCG